rnacentral:miRNA from 1 species
GUUAAUAUUUCACUGUCUGUU